AAUAUUGCACAAUGGGGGAAACCCUGAUGCAGCCAUGCCGCGUUGUGUGAAGAAGGCCUUCGGGUUGUUAAAGCACUUUCAGUAGGGAGGAAGGUAGUGUAGUUAACACCUGCAUUAUUUGACGUUACCUACAGAAGAAGCACCGGCUAACUCCGUGCCAGCAGCCGCGGUAAUACGGAGGGUGCGAGCGUUAAUCGGAAUUACUGGGCGUAAAGCGCAUGCAGGCGGCCUGUUAAGUCAGAUGUGAAAGCCCGGGGCUUAACCUCGGAAUUGCAUUUGAAACUGGCAGGCUAGAGUCUUGUAGAGGGGGUAGAAUUUCAGGUGUAGCGGUGAAAUGCGUAGAGAUCUGAAGGAAUACCAGUGGCGAAGGCGGCCCCCUGGACAAAGACUGACGCUCAGAUGCGAAAGCGUGGGGAGCAAACAGGAUUAGAUACCCUGGUAG
rnacentral:rRNA from 1 species